AGUCAAUUCACUGCUUCCUCUUUAAAUCUCAGAGAAGGCUGAUAUGUCAAUGUGGAGGGGUCUGGUAUGAAAUCUCUAGGAUAUGGUGGUCACUCCACUUGGGAGAUGUGAACCUGGAACACGUUGAAUUCAACAUCUCUGAGCCUCAGUUUCUUACACUGAAAGUGAAGCAAAUUGAACCAGGUAUACUGGAAUACACCUGCCACCCUAGCAACUGGAAGACUAAAGCAGGAGAAUGAAUACUUUGAAGCCAGCCUGGGCUACACAAGAAACAGGGCAAAGGCCCCCGAGAGUGAAAAGGAAUGAAAAGUGGAUUCUGUUUGAGAGACUGCAGAAGGAAUGUGGCCUUGCUGGUCUAUUUUUCACUUCUGAUUUCCAAAGACAUAGGAGAGGAAUAUUUGGCAAUGUAUGAAGACAUUGGUUAUAAAACCUAGAAAAUAGAAGCCUGAGAUGCUAGUCAACAUCCUACAGGAUCUGACAUCCUGAAAUAAAAACUAUCUGCC